GAUUCAGUAAAGGUCUUCCUCACCAAAGCAGAUGGGGAUCAUCCAACACUUUGAGGGCCCGAUCAGAACAAAAAGUUAGAGGGAAAGUGAAUUUACUCUUUGCUUGAGUUGGGACAUCCAUGUUCUGCUCUCGACACCAGUGCUCCUACUUCUCAGGCCUUUGGACACAGACUAAGUUAUAUCAGCAGCUUUCCUGGUUCUCCAGCUUGCAGACAGCAGACCGUGAGAAUCCUCCUUCUCCUUAAUCAUUGAUUGGUUCAGUGGAGGCAUCUGACCUGAGCUGCUUCGAUCAGACUGAAACCUAAAGAUUUUCUGUGGAUUGUGGACAAAUUCAGUCUUUCUUCUAUCCUGAAUAUACUGAAGAAAAGUGGAAGCCCUAGAAGCCUGGGAUCACCAGUGAGGUCACCCCCGCGCAGGCCUCGGCUCGAGCAGUCCUGCUGAGCUGAACGAGAAAUACAGCGCCAGGGGCCUGCGGCCUGCAGACGUGAGCACGGGGACCAACCUGCUCUGCAAUCUGCUGACCUCAGGUCUCGCCUUCAUUCCCACGAGUUCUAAUGCAUGGGGUGGAGCCUGGGGGGUCUGGGUUCUUCUCCUCUUGAAGAAGCAUCACUUAGUGCAAGAGCCACAGGACGGGGAAGAGCAGCGAGCAAGUCGGCAGUAGCUGCUUCAAAAGAUCCAGCCCCAGAGGGGCCCAGCCAGGAGGCAGGCUCUUCCAUGAUCUGUCCCCCCAGCGAGUCAGAAGCUCCAGA